GACGUAGGGCGCGAGCGUUGUCCGGAUUUAUUGGGCGUAAAGAGCUCGUAGGCGGUUUGUCGCGUCGUUCGUGAAAACUCACAGCUUAACUGUGAGCUUGCGGUCGAUACGGGCAGGCUAGAGUUCGGUAGGGGAGACUGGAAUUCCUGGUGUAGCGGUGAAAUGCGCAGAUAUCAGGAAGAACACCAAUGGCGAAAGCAGCUCUCUGGGACGGUACUGACGCUGAGACGCGAAAGCGUGGGGAGCGAACAGG
rnacentral:rRNA from 1 species